ACAGUUAUUAAGAUUUUGAAAAUGAAAAAGACGCAUACUCCAUCAUUCUUGUUUUCUGUUUCAAGGUUGAGGUGAUAGAUUUCGUUGUUAGAGAACAUGGCGGGAGAAUGGAGAAGACGAUCUGGUUUUAGCUAAAAUCAAUUCUCAUUUAUCCAUUUCAAGAUAUUUCCCGCCAUAAAUUGGUCAGGGUUUCAUCAGAAAUUGGUUACUUCCGUCACUUGUAUAUAAAGAACCAAGGUUUUUUUAGUUUUUUUUUUUCUAUCCUUGAACCAGUUGAUCGAGUAUAGCUUCUGGUGAAAACCUAAGUAAUUCUGAGCGAGCUAUUUCUGUUUUGAAGAAAUGGGAAAGAAGGUAAUGGUUAAUGAAGAAUUAAAACUACUGCAACUUCUAAAAGAUAUCCAAGUCUUAAACUUUAAUGGAAGAAAUGUGAGCAGUACUAUCCUAGACAGACUAAUUUUGGAAACAUGGGUUUUGAUCAGGAAAAUGGAAAUGUAGGAGUGUUUCCAAGGAAUACUACACAGCAAGGUACUGGAUAUCCUGCACCUAAGACUGGUAUGUUUUCUCUUCUUGGGAAGAAGAAAAAUGACGGAGCAAAAGAUCUUCAUAUGUUUGUUCGGAGUUCUAGUGCUUCUCCUGUUUCGGAAGGAGGGAUUCAUGUCUUCAGAGAGGUGCUGAUUAUGGUCAUGAAAAUGGCGGAAUUGGAGCUCAUCAAAUUGAUUUUUUUUUUAUAUAAGUGGAGGUCAUCAAAUUGAACCAAACCCAAAAGAGUUUGAAGAAUAUCGCUGAGAUGAUCAGUUCAGUUUUGGGAACGGACAAGCCAUAAAUGGUGGUGAACGAGAAGCACCAAAUUUGACAAAGCCUCGUUCUAGCUUGAGCUUCACCUAAAUCAGGCGCUUAUGGGGCGACUCAAAAGCCAUUUCUACGCCACCUGCUAGGGUUAUGACUAGGCUCAUCCUGAUCAUGGAAUGGCGAAAACUCAUCAGAGAUCCCAACACUUACUCGAGUCUCAUUGGUCUUACCUGGUCUCAGGUUUCUCUUAGGUAUAAGCACAUCAUUGAUCAGGGACGGGCCUCGCAAGGGGCUUAAGGAGGCUAUAGCCCGUCCCUAAUUUUUGGGUAAAAAAAAUUCAGUAUAGAAACUUAAGUUAAAUUUUAUAUUUAUCCCACAUAUUAAUUGUAUUUAGCUAAUUGUAUGUGAUUUUUAGCCAUACUAUGAGGUGAUCAAAAUUUGAACGUGAAUAAUCUUC